rnacentral:rRNA from 1 species
GGUGAAAUGCGUAGAUAUCUGAAGGAACACCAGUGGCGAAGGCGACUCCCUGGACUAUAACUGACGCUGAGGUACGAAAGCGUGGGUAGCAAACAGGAUUAGAUACCCUGGUAGUCCACGCCGUAAACGAUGUCUACUAGCCGUUGGCCCUAUUUACAGGGUUAGUGGCGCAUCUAGACGCAUAACGUCGACCGCCUGGAGAGUAGGGCCGCGAUGUUAAAACUCAAGUGAAUAGAGGGGGGCCCGCACAAGCUGUGGAGCAUGUGGUUUACUUCGAUGCAACGCGAAAAACCUUACCUACCCUUGACAUCCAGAGAAUUACCUAGAGAUAUUAGAGUGCCAUCGGGAGCUGCUGAGACAGGUGCUGCAUGGCUGUCGUUCAGCAUCGUUGUCUUGAGAUAUUGGGUUAAGUCCCGUAACGAGCGCAACACACUUGAUCGCCUAGUUAUGCCAGCGUGGUAAUAGCCGGGAACUCUAGGGAGACUGCCGGUGAUAAACCGGAGGAAGG